AUUGAACGCUGGCGGCAUGCCUUACACAUGCAAGUCGAACGGCAGCGGACCUUCGGGUGCCGGCGAGUGGCGAACGGGUGAGUAAAGUAUCGGAACGUACCUUUCAGUGGGGGAUAACGUAGCGAAAGUUACGCUAAUACCGCAUAUUCUGUGAGCAGGAAAGCAGGGGAUCGCAAGACCUUGUGCUGAUUGAGCGGCCGAUAUCAGAUUAGCUAGUUGGUGAGGUAAAGGCUCACCAAGGCGACGAUCUGUAGCGGGUCUGAGAGGAUGAUCCGCCACACUGGAACUGAGACACGGUCCAGACUCCUACGGGAGGCAGCAGUGGGGAAUUUUGGACAAUGGGGGAAACCCUGAUCCAGCCAUGCCGCGUGAGUGAAGAAGGCCUUCGGGUUGUAAAGCUCUUUCGGCCGGGAAGAAAUCGCAUAGGUUAAUACCCUGUGUGGAUGACGGUACCGGAAUAAGAAGCACCGGCUAACUACGUGCCAGCCGCCGCCGUAACAC
rnacentral:rRNA from 1 species